UAUCUUUGAUCUGCCGUAGUAGAUGUUGUCUCAAAAUUAACAUUGAUGUUAAUACAACACUUAAUCCGGUGAAACCGCGAAUGGGACUCAUAUAUCGCUAUGUUCUUAAUGUCUCAUCUUACUGGAUACUGUGAUUAGAGCUAUACGACUUACAACCUGAACUCACGGAGGACGCAUUUAUUAGAUCAUAUACCAUAUCGGCUGCCCGUCUGCUUGUUGACUCUGGUAACUUUGUUGUCGCAUUGGCCUCUGCGCUGCGACGUAUUUUCCAAGGUCUGCCUAUCAACUUACGAUGAGUGAUUAUAUACAUGUAUACGGUAAGGGAUCAGUGGUUCGAUUCCCGAGAGGAUGAGAAAACGGUACACAUUAAGGAAGCAGCAGGGCCCCGCAAUUACCCCUCCGCCGGGGGUUGUGACAAAAUAACGAUCGGGAUUUUUGAGGACCUCGUAUUGUAAUGAGUACACUAAUCGUUAAACAAGGAUUAUUGGAGGGCAAGUCUGUGAGCACCGCGUGUAUUCAGUCUAAUGCGUAUAUUUAUUUGCUGCGUAUAAAGUCGUAGUUGAUCUGAGGACUCGAAUGUGGUGCACAUUACCGUGUGAUCUGCCCCAUUUCGGCUACUAGUCGGUGCUGUCUUUUGUCUUAUUGAUGCCCGAAUUGCCUGGCAGUUUACUUUGAAAAAUAUUUAGAUGCUCCAAAGCAGGACAUAGCGCAAUAUUACAUGAAUAAUGAGAAUAGACUUCGUUUAAUUUUGGUUUUUUCCGACCGAUCGGAAAUUUAGAAGUCACCGGGGGAUUGUACUGCUGGUGUAGUGUGAAAUUCUUGGAUCGCAGAAGCACUAACAGAAUGCGAAACAUUUGCAAGAAUGUUUGCAUAUCAUAACGAAAGUCAGAAGGUUCGAAGACGAUCAAGAUCCGUCUAGUUUGCAUAACGUGCACUGGAGUCAGAUGUUUGCUUAUGACUCUCGGUCAGCUCCGGGGAACAAAUUUUUAUUUCGGAGAUGAAGUAUGUGCUAGCUGAUGACUUAAAGGAAUUGACGAAGAGCACCCAAGUGGAGCUGCGCUUAAUUGACUCAAACACGGGAAAUCCCGGCCGGCAUGAUUAGAUUUGACAGAUGUGAGAGCUCUUUCUUGUCGGGUGGGUGCUGCGUUUUAGUGUAAGCGAUUUGUUGGUUAAUAUCUAACGAACGAACUCUACCUGCUAAAAUAUCGCCCUCUUUGUCGGGUGCUUACUUUUAGAGGACAUAGCGUCUUGAAUGACACGAGAUUGAGCAUACAGGUCGUGUGAUGCCUUAAUGUUCUGGCGCACGCGCGCGUACCUGAGGGGACAGCGAGUUUUUCCUGCGUUCGAAAGAACGGGGUAAUCUGUUGAUUCCCUUCGUGACCAGGGAUCGGGGUUGCAAUUAUUCCCCCGUGAACGAGGAAUUCCAGUAAGCGCAAGUCAUAGCUUGCGUUGAUUACGUCCCUGCCCUUUGUAACACGCCCGUCGCUACUACUCGAUUGAAUGUUUUAGAAGGUCCUCGGAUUGGUGCCGACUUGGUGGCAACACUAGGUCGGAUACUGAAAAGAAGAUCAAACUUGAUAUUAGAGAAGUAUAAAGUCGUAACAAGGUUUCCGUAGGUGAACCUGCGAAGUACGAGAUCAUAC
rnacentral:rRNA from 1 species